UAUAUCUUGGCUAUUGUGAAUGGUGCUGCAAUAAACAAUGGAGUACAGAUACUUCUUCAAUAUACUGAAUUUCUGUAUUUUAGAUAUAUACCCAGCAGUGGAAUUGCUGAAUCAUACGGAAGUUCUAAGUUUAGUUUUUUGAGGAACCUCCAUACCAUUCUCUAAUGUGGUUGUACUAAUUUGCAUUUCUGCCAACAGUGUACAAGGGUUCCCCAUUCUCCACAUCCUUACCAGCAUCCAUUAUUACCCUGUCUUUUUUAUAAAAGCCGUUGUAACUGCAGUGAGAUCAAAGAGGAGGACAGAUAAGGGAUAGCCUUAGAGGCUAUUGGAAAGAUUUUACUAUGAGAGAAAUAGAAACCAUUGGAAAGUUUUGAGCAUGUAAAUGAGUUGAUCCGAGCUUCCCAAAAGGCAUACAGAAUAUCCUGUUUUUAGAAAUUAGAAAUAUUUUACUUUUUCCUGGAUCUGUUGAACUUACUAAUUUGUUUCCACAGGCUUCAUUAUUACAGCUACAUAUUUAGUGUGUAUUAAGGUUGCUAGCAAGAAAAAUGGGAUCCUUGUUUUGAAUCUCAUGGAGUCCCUAAAGUGUGCCUCUCAAUGAUUGCUUUUCCCCUUGAAACAAAAUCAGAUAGGCUUCUGAAGCAAAACUUUGAUGUGAUUUUAAUAGCAUGUAAGUUUAAAAGACCUGGAGGUAAAAGUUUUAGACUUUUCUUGUCUGGAAAGAAAGUGACAUCAACUUGUUUGCAUUCAGCUUGGGAAGAUCUUAAAUACAAGUUUCACCUACUAUUUUUUGAAAUUUCAUCUCCAGUGCCUGGUGGAAAGAGAUCUGUCUUCUUACUUCCUCAGCAUAUGUGUGAUAGAAUUCUAGCUGUUCAACUUAAACUCUGAUUUAUAUGAAGUUUCUGGAAAAUGUAAAUCAGCACCCUGAUCCUUCACAUCCCAUAGCAUUUUAACCUGUAAUAUAUUGUUGAUAUCAUAAGAUGACAGGAACAGAGUCAUAAUAUGGCUAUUCUGUGUUGGAUUGGUGAUGUUUUGAAACAAGAUGGAAAUCUUUAUUUAGGAAUAUAAAAUAAAUGGCCUGUUUAAAAACAUUUUAAAAGAAGCAUCUAUUCCGAGGUUUGAUUUUUUUGUUUGUUUCUUAGGUGUUUUGCUGAACUAUAAGUAAUUCAUCUCUCUAUUCUACAAUAUUCUAUACUGAGGUGCAUAUCACCCUUCUCCUGUCUUCCAACACUGUAAUAACUGAUUUUUAGCUCCCAAUUAUGAACUUGAACUGCUGGGCUGAAAUCUGCAGUUCUAACUUGAAGACAGAAAGAAAUUUAACGGAGCCCUGGAACUAACCUACU